rnacentral:rRNA from 1 species
GGUGGAGUGAUCUGUCUGCUUAAUUGCGAUAACGAACGAGACCUUAACCUGCUAAAUAGGCCGUAUUGCUAUGGCAGUACCCGGGCUUCUUAGAGGGACUAUCGGCUCAAGCCGAUGGAAGUAUGAGGCAAUAACAGGUCUGUGAUGCCCUUUGAUGUUCUGGGCCGCACGGGCGCUACACUGACAGAGCCAGCGAGUACUCGCUUGGCCGGAAGGCCUGGGUUAUCUUGUUAAACUCUGUCGUGCUGCGGAUAGAGCAUUGGAAUUAUUGCUCUUCAACGAGGAAUCGCUAGUAAG